CCUGGACUACUAAUAAGAGGAAGAAGAAAUGAGAACUAAAGGAAGCAAGGAUGGCAAGACUUCCCUAGUAGAUCCAGGCAACGUCGUGAAGAAUAAAAACAGAGUUAAAAUUGGGACUGGUACGCUGCUGAUGGCUUGCUUUUGUUAAGGUAUUUGCAUAAAUCUACCCCAGCUUUAUAUUAUUUGGAAAUUCCUUGUUUACCAUCCCAGUAGGAGGUCCUUGUAUAUCUGCAUGCGGACUCCAGUGAUUGGGCGCUUACUAGUUACGAGAGGCAGCCGUCCGGAGGGUGUCCAGCUUGGACGGCUGGCUGUUCUUUCUGCUCUUUUACUUGUCCAUAACUUCCACCCAGUGGUCUUAGUUUCCCCUUGGAAGUGGAACUGACUGAGUGCCAUCCUUAUUUCACUUGGCCGAGUCCAAGCUGCAGCCCAUGGUAGAAGCUGCAAGAGCUGGGCAGAGUUCCAGGCGAGAGGGGCCGAGAGGCGUGAGCGGCGCUCCACAGCGCUUGUCAGAGAAAUGGAGCAGCGGCUUCUUUGUGGGCUGAAGCGCUGCCCUGGCGAGCAGCUCCAGUGGGGAUCUGCCUGCCUUGGGGACACCGCCCGCACACCCGCCUAUGCCCUGGCUCCCUGGCCACACUGGUCCUAGGCAGUGCCGGCUCCUGCGCCUCCCUGAAUCGCAGAUGCUGCGGGUGCCUCCAGGGGAAGAUCCUGGCGGCAGGAUCGCUCGCUGGAUUUUACUAUUUCCCUUUCACGUCACAUUCAGCUUCUAAAGGGUGUGAGCUACAGCACAAACGGUUCCAGCCAACAGAAUGCAGUUCCCAGGGCCCUGCCUGUAACAGAUCUAGAUGUCUGAACCUACAAUGGCAAAUGGGCACUUCUGGGUGUGGGAGCCUAAGGAUUUGGAGCUGGCUCUCAUAGCCCACUCUUAUCUACUCCUUCUCUGAGCCCUCAGCAAGGCUGAGAACUGCUUAUGAAGACAUCAAGUGGUUCACACAGCCUAAGGUAUAUAUGUGCAAGGCUAAGGAAGAAGUAAAUAACAAAGAAGGUAAAAA
rnacentral:lncRNA from 1 species